rnacentral:rRNA from 1 species
CAGGCCUUGACAUCCAAUGAACUUUCCAGAGAUGGAUUGGUGCCUUCGGGAACAUUGAGACAGGUGCUGCAUGGCUGUCGUCAGCUCGUGUCGUGAGAUGUUGGGUUAAGUCCCGCAACGAGCGCAACCCUCGCCCUUAGUUGCCAGCAUUCAGUUGGGCACUCUAAGGGGACUGCCGGUGAUAAGCCGAGAGGAAGGUGGGGAUGACGUCAAGUCCUCAUGGCCCUUACGGGCUGGGCUACACACGUGCUACAAUGGUGGUGACAGUGGGCAGCGAAGGAGCGACCCCGAGCUAAUCUCCAAAAGCCAUCUCAGUUCGGAUUGCACUCUGCAACUCGAGUGCAUGAAGUUGGAAUCGCUAGUAAUCGCGGAUCAGCACGCCGCGGUGAAUGCGUUCCC